CGUUGCCUGCACCUGCCGGCGACCGGCGCACGGGUGAGUAACACGUAUGGAACCUGCCCGCCACAGGGGGAUAACCCGGGGAAACCCGGCCUAAUACCCCAUGCCGCCCGGACCGGGCAUCCGGUCCGGGCGAAAGGAGGAAUCCGGUGGCGGCUGGGCAUGCGGCGCAUUAGCUAGACGGCGGGGUGACGGCCCACCGUGGCGACGAUGCGUAGGGGUUCUGAGAGGAAGGCCCCCCCACACUGGGACUGAGACACGGCCCAGACUCCUACGGAAGGCAGCAG
rnacentral:rRNA from 1 species